ACUCGAAGAAUAUCUCUCCUUCUGAAAGGGUGAAAUACAGCAUCAAAAGCCCUUAUUUCGCCCCUUGGAUCCCGAUGAAGAUGAGCCCGAAGUCACGGAAAUUGAAAGUUGUGUGUGAACUGUCAGAAGAAUGGUACCACCAGAAUACUCCUGACAAAGAUCCCAUUCUACAAAGAAGUUGUAUUGAUGUCCUUCUCAUGUGACGAAUGUGUGGUAUCAGAACAACGAACUACAGUCAGGAGGAGAAAUCCAGGAGAAAGGGAUCCGAAUGUAAGUGGUUGAUGAACACGGUAGCAGAUCUGAACCGGACAGUUGUUAAGUUAGAACAUACAAUUAUAAAUGUCCCUGCGAUUGAAUUUGAAGUCAAAUCUAUAAAAGGAGAUGUGACAACAGUGGAGAGCGUUAUUUCAAGGUAUCUCCAAGUGUUCAGGAGAUUCACUCCAAGAGCUAGAAGCCAAUCCGGUCGAAGCUAAUUGUUCUCGGUAAACACAUCGAAAAGCUAGUUGGUUUGUUGGAAGUCAAGAACCUUUUACAAUGGUGAUUUUAAAGAUCUGAAACCAAUGUUCCCCAUCGAACCACAGUCCUCAGGCAUCAAUGCCUGAAAGGUGUUAGUGAGGGAGUG
rnacentral:lncRNA from 1 species